GAUGAAGAACGUAGCGAAAUGCGAUAAGUAAUGUGAAUUGCAGAAUUCAGUGAAUCAUCGAAUCUUUGAACGCACAUUGCGCCCGCCAGUAUUCUGGUGGGCAUGCCUGUUCGAGCGUCAUUACAACCCUCAGGCCCCCGGGCCUGGCGUUGGGGAUCGGCGGAAGCCCCCUGCGGGCACAACGCCGUCCCCCAAAUACAGUGGCGGUCCCGCCGCAGCUUCCAUUGCGUAGUAGCUAACACCUCGCAACUGGAGAGCGGCGCGGCCACGCCGUAAAACACCCAACUUCUGAAUGUUGACCUCGAAUCAGGUAGGAAUACCCGCUGAACUUAAGCAUAUCAAUAAGCGGAGGA
rnacentral:misc_RNA from 1 species